GAAACUCAGUUGGUUAGAGCAUGGUGCUGACAACGCCAAGAUUGCAGGUUUGAUCCCCGUAUGGGACA
rnacentral:tRNA from 1 species